AUUUUCCUGCAGGGUGAUGUGACUCAAACAAGGUAUUUUACCCCUCUGAUGAGAUAGGUGAAACCCUUAAUCAAGGCUGGGAUGCUGUUAUCAUAACAUAUAAAGAAGCUUUUCAUCACAAAGAUCCAGCUUAGAAUCCAUUUCCUGUGUGAAAGUUUUGCAUCAUUAGAGAUCAACUUGCUUGGAGUUGUUUUCCAGCUUAGGCAGAAUGAUUAGCAUGAUCUUUCUGAGAUGGAACACGCCCAUAAGAUCGACAGUGUUCUGUGGGAUCUUCCAGAUACAUAACAAGUGCAUAGGAUUCCACAGAAGAUGCUUCUAGUUUCCUUAGGCUCCUUGAAGAGACAGAUAUCUGGAUAUUUAACUUGAAAGAAAGAUGGACAGACUCUUACAAAUAACAAUCCUCUGAAUAGCUGAAAGUAGGUUUUGAGG